CUGUUGCCCGGUUCCAGUACAAUGCCCCGUUAGCUGCUCGGUGGAAGGGAAGCUUAACGUGUACAGAUGUUUCCACACAUUGCCUGAGAACAUAUAGAUCUCAGCUGCAAUCAAUGACCGAGGCAACGUUUAAUUGGAGACCAUACGACGACAUUCUCGGUAGACUCCCCGAUAUAUGUCGGAGUGGUAUGGGAAUUUGGCGGAGUUGUUGCCCUUUGCUAUGCUACUCGGUUGUGGAGCAUCACUAUCCUCAACGAGUGAUGAGACAGUUUGGCAUGUUCC